CUCCAGAGAAGAUCACCACGCUAUCUGGGUUCUUCCAGAUGUACUUGGAAAUCAAAUACAUAUCUCUUGAAGUGUGAACUGUUGCACGGUUCUAAGUUUCCAAGGAAAAUGUGACUUCAUUUAGUAUCUGAAUGCCUUCCUCAGAGUCCAGAGGACUUCAUGAUAUUACUACCAAUGUGAUCUGUUGCCUUUCCAGCAGCCAGUAAAUGGGGACUGUCUUCCAAGCCAACUGCAAGUGUCUGGAGAGCAUAGUCUACUGGAGCCUCUUUAAGCUGCUUCAACAGGGCGACAGCAGCCAAGCCAGAAUCAGCGCCCCCGGCUCAAAGACAUCCAGUUCUCCUGCCUGUCAGGUUGGUUUCAAGCUGUGGAGAAUUUAACCAGCAAGACUCCUGACAAUUCAACAAUGGGUUCUCCUAUUUCUGUCCAUGGGUAUCUCCUGAUUCUGUCCGGCUCCAGCAGCUUACAGGUACCAUAGUUAAGAGGUAACAAGCUGUCAACAAUCCAGAAUCUUAAACCGAAAGAGGUAAAGGAGA
rnacentral:lncRNA from 1 species